GGUUGUCGUCAGCUCGUGUCGUGAGAUGUUGGGUUAAGUCCCGCAACGAAGCCGCAACCCCUAUUGUUAGUUGCCAUCAUUCAGUUGGGCACUCUAGCGAGACUGCCGGUAAUAACCGGAGGAAGUGGGAUGACGUCAAAUCAUCAUGCCCCUUAUGACCUGGGCUACACACGUGCUACAAUGGUUGGUACAACGAGUUGCGAGUCGGUGACGGCGAGCUAAUCUCUUAAAGCCAAUCUCAGUUCGGAUUGUAGGCUGCAACUCGCCUACAUGAAGUCGGAAUCGCUAGUAAUCGCGGAUCAGCACGCCCGCGGUCGAAUACGUUCCCGGGCCUU
rnacentral:rRNA from 1 species